UACGAAGGGUGCAAGCGUUACUCGGAAUUACUGGGCGUAAAGCGUGCGUAGGUGGUUCGUUAAGUCUGAUGUGAAGGCCCUGGGCUCAACCUGGGAAUGGCAUUGGAAACUGGCGGGCUAGAGUGCGGUAGAGGGUAGCGGAAUUCCCGGUGUAGCAGUGAAAUGCGUAGAGAUCGGGAGGAACAUCUGUGGCGAAGGCGACUGCCUGGACCAGCACUGACACUGAGGCGCGAAAGCGUGGGGAGCAAACAGG
rnacentral:rRNA from 1 species